rnacentral:rRNA from 1 species
GUGCUGCAUGGCUGUCGUCAGCGUCCCCACCUAUGACCCGUCGGUUCGAUCGGUAGCUCCAUCUCCUGACCGCAAGCAGCUGACGGCCGCGGUCCUUGUUCCCAUCCGUUGGCCGUGGGGACAUCAUGAGCUCGCUUCUAGGAGAGGACCUGCGCUCUUGGA